rnacentral:rRNA from 1 species
GACAGAGGAUGCAAGCGUUAUCCGGAAUGAUUGGGCGUAAAGCGUCUGUAGGUGGCUUUUUAAGUCCGCCGUCAAAUCCCAGGGCUCAACCCUGGACAGGCGGUGGAAACUACCAAGCUGGAGUACGGUAGGGGCAGAGGGAAUUUCCGGUGGAGCGGUGAAAUGCGCAGAUAUCAGGAGGAACACCGGUGGCGAAGGCGGUGAUCUGGGCCAGUACUGACGUUGAGGAGCGAAAGCGUGGGGAGCAAACAGG